rnacentral:rRNA from 1 species
GGAGGCGCGGCUACCUGCAAGUCGACGGUAACAGGAAGCAGCUUGCUGCUUUGCUGACGAGUGGCGGACGGGUGAGUAAUGUCUGGGGAUCUGCCUGAUGGAGGGGGAUAACUACUGGAAACGGUAGCUAAUACCGCAUAACGUCGCAAGACCAAAGAGGGGGACCUUCGGGCCUCUUGCCAUCAGAUGAACCCAGAUGGGAUUAGCUAGUAGGUGGGGUAACGGCUCACCUAGGCGACGAUCCCUAGCUGGUCUGAGAGGAUGACCAGCCACACUGGAACUGAGACACGGUCCAGACUCCUACGGGAGGCAGCAGUGGGGAAUAUUGCACAAUGGGCGCAAGCCUGAUGCAGCCAUGCCGCGUGUAUGAAGAAGGCCUUCGGGUUGUAAAGUACUUUCAGCGAGGAGGAAGGUGGUGAGUUUAAUACGCUCAUCAAUUGACGUUACUCGCAGAAGAAGCACCGGCUAACUCCGUGCCAGCAGCCGCGGUAAUACGGAGGGUGCAAGCGUUAAUCGGAAUUACUGGGCGUAAAGCGCACGCAGGCGGUCUGUCAAGUCGGAUGUGAAAUCCCCGGGCUCAACCUGGGAACUGCAUCCGAAACUGGCAGGCUUGAGUCUCCUAGAGGGGGGUAGAAUUCCAGGUGUAGCGGGGAAAUGCUUAGAGAUCUGGAAGAAUACCGGUGGCAAAAGGGGCCCCCUGGAACAAGACUGACGCUCAGGUGCGAAAACGGGGGGAGCAAACGGGAUUAAAUACCCGGGUAGCCACCCCCGAAAAGAUGUCAACUUGGAGGUUGUUCCCUUGAGGAAUGGGUUCCGGAGCUUACCCUUAAAUCCACCCCCUGGGGAUACGGCCCCCAGGGUAAAACUCAAUUAUUUUGCGGGGGCCCCCCCACCGGGGGAGAUGG